rnacentral:pre_miRNA from 1 species
AACCUAAUGGGCUUUCUCUUCUCAGUUCUUCCCGGAGUCGGGAAAAGCUGGGUUGAGAGGGUGAUAAAAAAAAGAA